CGCGGGAUUGGGCACGGGGGGCCGGGGUGCACCAGGCGCGAAAUCUUUGCAAUAGGCGAAAGCCUGACAAGGUUACUCUGAGUGAUUUCCGAUAAGGAGAUCUUUUGACACCUCUAAAAAUGGUGUAGAAUAAGGGGUGGGCAAGCCUGGUGUCAGCCGCCGCGGUAAUACCAGCACCCCGAGUGGUCGGGACGAUUAUUGGGCCUAAAGCAUCCGUAGCCGGUUCUUUAAGUCCUCCGUUAAAUCCAUCUGCUUAACAGAUGGGCUGCGGAGGAUACUAUAGAGCUAGGAGGCGGGGGAGGCAAGCGGUACUCAGUGGGUAGGGGUAAAAUCCGUUGAUCCAUUGAAGACCACCAGUGGCGAAGGCGGCUUGCCAGAACGCGCUCGACGGUGAGGGAUGAAAGCUGGGGGAGCAAACCGGAUUAGAUACCCGGGUAGUCCCAGCUGUAAACGAUGCAGACUCGGUGAUGAAUAGGCUUAGUGCCUAUUCAGUGCCGCAGGGAAGCCGUUAAGUCUGCCGCCUGGGGAGUACGGUCGCAAGACUGAAACUUAAAGGAAUUGGCGGGGGAGCACCACAAGGGGUGAAGCCUGCGGUUCAAUUGGAGUCAACGCCGGAAAUCUUACCGGGGGAGACAGCAGAAUGAAGGUCAAGCUGAAGACUUUACCAGACAAGCUGAGAGGAGGUGCAUGGCCGUCGCCAGCUCGUGCCGUGAGGUGUCCUGUUAAGUCAGGUAACGAGCGAGAUCCCUACCUCUAGUUGCUACUGAUGCUCUCAGGAGUAUUGGGGCUAAUUAGAGGGACUGCCGUCGCUGAGACGGAGGAAGGAGGGGGCUACGGCAGGUCAGUAUGCCCCGAAACCCUCGGGCCACACGCGGGCUGCAAUGGUAAGGACAAUAAGUUCCAAUUCCGAAAGGAGAAGGCAAUCUCUAAACCUUACCUCAGUUAUGAUUGAGGGCUGAAACUCGUCCUCAUGAAUAUGGAAUCCCUAGUAACCGCGUGUCACUAUCGCGCGGUGAAUACGUCCCUGCUCCUUGCAGGGAAAAACCGAAUCACUAGU
rnacentral:rRNA from 1 species